rnacentral:rRNA from 1 species
UACGAAGGGGGCUAGCGUUGUUCGGAAUUACUGGGCGUAAAGCGCACGUAGGCGGACUACUAAGUCAGGGGUGAAAUCCCGGGGCUCAACCCCGGAACUGCCUUUGAUACUGGUAGUCUCGAGUCCGGAAGAGGUGAGUGGAAUUCCGAGUGUAGAGGUGAAAUUCGUAGAUAUUCGGAAGAACACCAGUGGCGAAGGCGGCUCACUGGACCGGCAUUGACGCUGAGGUGCGAAAGCGUGGGGAGCAAACAGG